rnacentral:rRNA from 1 species
CAGGGGACGUGGAUAACCUCGGGAAACUGAGGAUAAACCGCGAUAGGUCAUCACUUCUGGAAUGGGUAAUGACUUAAAUCUAUAUGGCCCCUGGAUUGGACUGCGGCCGAUCAGGCUGUUGGUGAGGUAAUGGCCCACCAAACCUGUAACCGGUACGGGCUCUGAGAGGAGGAGCCCGGAGAUGGGCACUGAGACAAGGGCCCAGGCCCUAUGGGGCGCAGCAGGCGCGGAAACUYUGCAAUAGGCGAAAGCUCGACAGGGUUAYUCUGAAUGAUUUCCGUUAAGGAGAUCUUUUGGCACCUCUAAAAAUGGUGCAGAAUAAGGGGUGGGCAAGUCUGGUGUCAGCCGCCGCGGUAAUACCAGCACCCCGAGUGGUCGGGACGUUUAUUGGGCCUAAAGCAUCCGUAGCCGGUUCUACAAGUCUUCCGUUAAAUCCAACCUGCUUAACAGAUGGGCUGCGGAAGAUACUAUAGAGCUAGGAGGCGGGAGAGGCAAGCGGUACUCGAUGGGUAGGGGUAAAAUCCGUUGAUCCAUUGAAGACCACCAGUGGCGAAGGCGGCUUGCCAGAACGCGCUCGACGGUGAGGGAUGAAAGCUGGGGGAGCAAACCGGAUUAGAUACCCGGGUAGUCCCAGCUGUAAACGAUGCAGACUCGGUGAUGAGUUGGCUUAUUGCUAACUCAGUGCCGCAGGGAAGCCGUUAAGUUUGCCGCCUGGGGAGUACGGUCGCAAGAUGA